AGAUUUGAAAGCGAGUUUCCAUCAUCAAAUCCAGUUAAGCUCCUAGUUUUGUCCAAAGCACCCACUUUAUCAUAUAUUGCUUCCAAUGUAUACACAAACCCUUUCCACCCUUCUCCAACCCCACCUUCCCUUGCCAGAGCUGGCAGUGUCCAUUCGACCAACUGCUUCACAAACUGAACGUCUGAAAACAGAACUUCAGUAAUGGGCAA
rnacentral:lncRNA from 1 species